GACGAACGCUGGCGGCGUGCCUAAUACAUGCAAGUCGACCUUAGUUGCGAACGGGUGAGUAGCCCGUUGGUAACCUACCCAUCAGAAGGGGAUACCACUUGGAAACAGAUGCUAAUACCGUGUACUGAUGGAUGGACGCGGGGUGCAUUAGCUAGUUGGUGAGGUAACGGCUUACAAAGGCCACGAUGCAUAGCCGACCUGAGAGGGUGAUCGGCCACAUUGGGACUGAGACACGGCCCAAACUCCUACGGGAGGCAGCAGUAGGGAAUAUUCGGCAAUGGACGAAAGUCUGACCGAGCAACGCCGCGUGAGUGAAGAAGGUUUUCGGAUCGUAAAACUCUGUUGUUAGAGAAGCGGUAUCUAACCAAAAAGCAACGGCUAACUACGUGCCAGCCGCCGCGGUAAUAC
rnacentral:rRNA from 1 species